CCUAAGCAUCUUUGUGGCAGGAAGUCAAACAAAAGGAGAUCAAGCCACUGCAUCUCAUCAGAAUAAAGAUUCUGCGAUUAAACAACUGACAGAUUUCAAAGAGCAGACCUUUAUUUCAGGCAGUGAUGUGAUUUUACAGUGUGGCAAUGCCACUGAUAUCAACUGGAAUGAAUUAAUUUACAUCGUCUGGAACAUCAGCCUGCAAGACAGAAAAUGUUGGCUUGGUUUGUCACCCAAGCUGGACGACAAAUGUAAAGAUGGAAAGAGGCUGUACAACACCUCAGAUGGAGUUUACUUAGUCAUUCCCAAGAUUUCAAUAGAAGAUGAAGGAUUUUAUUCUUGUGAUGUAUCG